rnacentral:rRNA from 1 species
AUAUUAGUCAAUGCUCGAAAGAGUGAACUAGCUAACUGAAAUCAAUUAAAAUAAUUGAUAACAUAAGGGAAAAUAAUGAUAUUACCUUAUUAUUAGUGUCGUCCAAAUCUGGUGCCAGAAGACUCGGUAAGGCCAGAGACACAAACGUUAAUCGUCUUAAUCAGGCGUAAAGGGUUUGUAGGCGGCUUUAAAAUUUACUUAUACAAAAAUAAUAAGUAAAGAAUAAAAGCUAGAAUCAAAUAGAGGAUAUAUGAAAGAAUGCUUAGAGUAGGUCUGAUAUCCUUAGAUACUAAGUAGAAUAUUAAAGGCGAAAGCUUUUUUCCAUUAAUGAUUGACGCUCAGAAACGAAGGUGAGGAUAGGAAAUAGGAUUAGAUACCCAGAAUACCCCUCUCUGUCAACGAUGAAUGGUAGUUAUUAGUACAAAUUAUUAAUGGCAAUGUUAACACGAUAACCAUUCCGCCUUGUGAGUACAACUGCAAAGUUGAAAACAAAAAAAUUAGUCGGUUUCGGAGCAAACGAAGUGAAGCAUGUUAUUUA